AUCAACGCUGGCGGCGUGCCUAACACAUGCAAGUCGAACGAGAAAGGGUGAGUGUAGCAAUACACUUGCCUGAGUAAAGUGGCGAACGGGUGAGUAACACGUGGCCAACCUGCCCUCAAGAGGGGGAUAACCUGGGGAAACCUGGGGCUAAUACCGCGUAACAUCCCGGUGGCGGAAGCCGCGGGGAUCAAAGGCCCGCAAGGGUCGCUUGAGGAGGGGGCUGCGGCCGAUUAGCUAGUUGGUGAGGUAACGGCCCACCAAGGCGAUGAUCGGUAGCCGGCCUGAGAGGGCGCACGGCCACACUGGCACUGAAACACGGGCCAGACUCCUACGGGAGGCAGCAGUGGGGAAUUUUGCACAAUGCCCGAAAGGGUGAUGCAGCAACGCCGCGUGAGGGAUGAAGGCCUUCGGGUCGUAAACCUCUUUCG
rnacentral:rRNA from 1 species